UACAGAGGGGGCAAGCGUUGUUCGGAAUUACUGGGCGUAAAGGGCGCGUAGGCGGCCUUCUAAGUCGAACGUGAAAUCCCCGGGCUCAACCCGGGAACUGCGUCCGAUACUGGAAGGCUUGAAUCCGGGAGAGGGAUGUGGAGUUCCAGGUGUAGCGGUGAAAUGCGUAGAUAUCUGGAGGAACACCGGUGGCGAAGGCGACAUCCUGGACCGGUAUUGACGCUGAGGCGCGAAAGCCAGGGGAGCAAACGGG
rnacentral:rRNA from 1 species